rnacentral:rRNA from 1 species
UAAGGUGGCAAUAGCACGAGGGCUCCACCUCUUCCCAUUCCGAACAGAGAAGUUAAACCUCGUCACGCCGAUGAUACUGCGAAAGUGGAAAAGUAGGUAACCGCCCCCU